rnacentral:rRNA from 1 species
CGCGUAGGCGGUCGGAUAAGUCAGCUGUGAAAACCACGAGCUCAACUUGUGGCCUGCAGUUGAAACUGUCUGGCUAGAGUGUGGGAGAGGGAAGUGGAAUUCCUGGUGUAGCGGUGAAAUGCGUAGAUAUCAGGAGGAACACCGGUGGCGAAGGCGGCUUCCUGGACCACAACUGACGCUGAGGCGCGAAAGCUAGGGAGCAAACA